rnacentral:rRNA from 1 species
UAAGGGCUCACCAAGGCGACGAUCCCUAGCUGGUCUGAGAGGAUGAUCAGCCACACUGGAACUGAGACACGGUCCAGACUCCUACGGGAGGCAGCAGUGGGGAAUAUUGCACAAUGGGCGCAAGCCUGAUGCAGCCAUGCCGCGUGUAUGAAGAAGGCCUUCGGGUUGUAAAGYACUUUCAGUCGUGAGGAAGGCGGUGUCGUUAAUAGCGGCAUUGUUUGACGUUAGCGACAGAAGAAGCACCGGCUAACUCCGUGCCAGCAGCCGCGGUAAUACGGAGGGUGCGAGCGUUAAUCGGAAUUACUGGGCGUAAAGCGCAUGCAGGUGGUUUGUUAAGUCAGAUGUGAAAGCCCGGGGCUCAACCUCGGAAUAGCAUUUGAAACUGGCAGACUAGAGUACUGUAGAGGGGGGUAGAAUUUCAGGUGU